AAUCUUAUAGUUUAAUAUAAAAUUUUAAAUUGCAAAUUUAAGGAUAAAAUAAUUUUUAAGAUUU
rnacentral:tRNA from 1 species